UUCGCAGGCCGUGGACGGCGGAGGGGUCCUACGAGCAAUUC
rnacentral:rRNA from 1 species